CAGGACGAACGCUGGCGGCGUGCUUAACACAUGCAAGUCGAGCGGUAAGGCCCUUCGGGGUACACGAGCGGCGAACGGGUGAGUAACACGUGAGCAACCUGCCCCUGACUCCGGGAUAAGCGGUGGAAACGCCGUCUAAUACCGGAUACGACCCGCCACCUCAUGGUGGAGGGUGGAAAGUUUUUCGGUCAGGGAUGGGCUCGCGGCCUAUCAGCUUGUUGGUGGGGUAACGGCCUACCAAGGCGAUUACGGGUAGCCGGCCUGAGAGGGCGACCGGCCACACUGGGACUGAGACACGGCCCAGACUCCUGCGGGAGGCAGCAGUGGGGAAUAUUGCGCAAUGGGCGAAAGCCUGACGCAGCGACGCCGCGUGGGGGAUGACGGCCUUCGGGUUGUAAACCUCUUUUACCACCAACGCAGGCUCGAAGUUCUCUUCGGGUUGACGGUAGGUGGGGAAUAAGGACCGGCUAACUACGUGCCAGCAGCCGCGGUAAUACGUAGGGUCCGAGCGUUGUCCGGAAUUAUUGGGCGUAAAGAGCUCGUAGGCGGCGUGUCGCGUCUGCUGUGAAAGACCGGGGCUUAACUCCGGUUCUGCAGUGGAUACGGGCAUGCUAGAGGUAGGUAGGGGAGACUGGAAUUCCUGGUGUAGCGGUGAAAUGCGCAGAUAUCAGGAGGAACACCGGUGGCGAAGGCGGGUCUCUGGGCCUUACCUGACGCUGAGGAGCGAAAGCAUGGGGAGCGAACAGGAUUAGAUACCCUGGUAGUCCAUGCCGUAAACGUUGGGCGCUAGGUGUGGGGACUUUCCACGGUUUCCGCGCCGUAGCUAACGCAUUAAGCGCCCCGCCUGGUGAGUACGGCCGCAAGGCUAAAACUCAAAGGAAUUGACGGGGGCCCGCACAAGCGGCGGAGCAUG
rnacentral:rRNA from 1 species